GGGACAGUAGGUUGGUCGUGCCACCGGUACGUACUGGUCUCACUGAUUCCUCCUUCCUGAAGAACCGUAAUGCCAUUAAUUUGGUGUAGCGGGGAAACAGGACUGUUACUUUGAAAAAAUUAGAGUGUUUAAGGCAAGCUAACGCUUGAAUACAUUAGCAUGGAAUAAUGAAAUAGGACGAUCGAUCCUAUUUUGUUGGUUUCUAGGAUUGACGUA
rnacentral:rRNA from 1 species